CAUGCAGGCAUGAGUAGCGAUAAUUGAGGUGAGAAUCCUCAACGCCGAAAACCCAAGGUUUCCUACGCGAUGCUCGUCAUCGUAGGGUUAGUCGGGUCCUAAGUCGAGUCCGAAAGGGGUAGACGAUGGCAAAUUGAUUAAUAUUUCAAUACCAACAUAUAAGCGCGAUGUGGGGACGCAUAGAGUUAAUCGAGGUCACUGAUGGAAUAGUGGCUCGAAGGACGUAGGCUGUUACUUAGGCAAAUCCGGGUAACGUUAGGCCGAGAUCUUACAGGCUCUUGACACUCUUCGGAGGAGAUGGAGAAUCGAUGAUACUGUCGUGCCAAGAAAAGCCACUAAGUAUAUUAUAUGUUGCCCGUACCGUAAACCGACACAGG
rnacentral:rRNA from 1 species